UGUUGUUUCUAAGAAUACAUCAUUGAGCGCUGAAACCAUUGUCACAGUUCUUGCAACAUUGAGGAACAUGACAGAACCUGUUAGGGUGAUCCCCGAGGCUCUAUCCAUUAUGAUUCGUUUAAAGUUUUCUUUGACUGUCUCAAUAACCUGUCUGCUUGAUGAAGAAAUAAACAAAGAUGCUGGUGAAAACAACUUCAAGCAAUGUUCUACCGUGGAAAUUGAAUAUGACAACCUCAUUUGGGAUCAAGCGGGGACAGGAAAUAACAAUUUCGUAGAUCAGUUGGUGCUGGAAAAUCAACACUUUUAUAUGCAAUAUUUGGAGAGGUUCAUAAGAUUUCUUGGAACAGUUAAUGUAGGUGCCAGCCUUGCGUACGUUUCUCAACAAAAAUUGGUCAGAGCGGGAUAAGCAUGAGUGGAGGACAAAAACAAAGUUUUCAACUAGCUAAAGCAAUCCACAAUGAUGCAGAUAUCUAUCUUCUUGAUGACCCUUUUAGUGCAAUUGACGCACAUACAGUCGACUUUGUUUUUGGGGUUUAAGGGCUUCCACUGCUUCCUUCUCAAGCUUCAC